AGCGAACGCUGGCGGCAGGCCUAACACAUGCAAGUCGAACGGACCCUUCGGGGUUAGUGGCGGACGGGUGAGUAACACGUGGGAACGUGCCUUUAGGUUCGGAAUAGCUCCUGGAAACGGGUGGUAAUGCCGAAUGUGCCCUUCGGGGGAAAGAUUUAUCGCCUUUAGAGCGGCCCGCGUCUGAUUAGCUAGUUGGUGAGGUAACGGCUCACCAAGGCGACGAUCAGUAGCUGGUCUGAGAGGGUGACCAGCCACACUGGGACUGAGACACGGCCCAGACUCCUACGGGAGGCAGCAGUGGGGAAUCUUGCGCAAUGGGCGAAAGCCUGACGCAGCCAUGCCGCGUGAAUGAUGAAGGUCUUAGGAUUGUAAAAUUCUUUCACCGGGGACGAUAAUGACGGUACCUGCAGAAAAAGCACCGGCUAACUACGUGCCAGCCGCCGCCGUAA
rnacentral:rRNA from 1 species